CUUGUAUUAAGGGUGGGAUCAGAAAAGUCUUAAAUUAAUGGACAGAAGUGAGAUCCCUUCUCCACUAGAAGACACGCAUGAGGUGGUGCAGCCUAUGAUCUUGCUAAUGAGAGGUCACCAGCUGCUGAAGGUUUCCUGUGCUUUUCAACUCUAGCCUGAUAAGCCACCGAGCUUCCCAGAGUGUGGAUGCCCUUCUAGGUCCUUGAGAUAGAGAGUGCCAAGAACGAACAUUCUAAAUUGAGGGGGAAAACUCCCUUGAAACAAAAAUAAAACUUUUUUUUCC
rnacentral:lncRNA from 1 species